AAAGGAGGAGACCCGUAGCUCCCGGGAGAAUGCAGGAACAUUCCUGCAUCUGGAGGCUGAGGCUGCUUGGACAGAGAAGUGCAUCCAGCUGCCAAGGUCUGAUGCUGGUCUGGGCAGAAAUGGAUUUGUCACCUCAAAGAUGACUUCCUUGGGCACAACUAGGCCAGACGCUGGGUACCUUGUGGUGGCCCUGGAGGGGUACAGCUUCAAGAAAGAACUUGCCGAUCCCCUGCAAAGAAUGCAGUUAGCCAACAGCCUUCGGCCUCAGCACAUUUGAGAUCUGCCUUAACUUUCAAGCCAAGGCUAGCUCUUCCUGAGCAGGCUCCAGCGAAGAACCUGCAUGGAGGGACUAGGACCCGACCAGUUCUGCCCAACAUGGGGCUCCCCUAACAAACAGUCUUUGUUCUGGAGCUCCCAAACUGAGUUGACAAAGCCUCUGUCAGCCCUGCAUUGCCGUCUGAGGCUCCCCUGCUGAGUGCUGCUUUCACCCACUUUUGUCUUUCACAGGCAUGACACUCCUCCCUCUCGUCCUACUAGCUCCACUUUACCAUCUGCUUCCCAGAGGACUGGAACUGACAUGCUGCCUUUACUACCCCGCAACCAUUCUCACCCCACCUCCACAUAUGCCUGCCCAAAUAAUCUUGAUUUUGGGCUCAGCUACUAGAUCGAAAUCCCUUCAUCUUUGGAGAGUGGGUUGCUCCCCAGCCCCAGCAGAUAAAUCAUGAUCUGUCUUAAGUAGACCCAGUAAGUCCUUUCUGUUCUACAGGAAUUGGUCCAGGAUGGGUGCCUGGUCCGCCUUUUAGCCAAUGAGAGGUCAGGGGAAAUCUGGGGCUUCACUUUACUAAUAACAUAGACCUUCAGGUAGUUAAAGCCUUCUGCCCUGCCCCUUCCCUUCCAUUUUGAUCAGUGUCCUGUGAUCAAAUGAUGUGAGGCACUGCAGCAGCUGUUUUGGGCAAUGAGUUUGAGGACAAAAGCCAACUGCUGAAGAUGACAGAGCAGAAAGAUGAGAAGAGCCUGAGUCCUGAAGAACACCCCCGAGCCCCUGCAAUGACUCUGGAGCUGCUGACCUCCACAUGUUUUGCUAUAAAAAAAAAGAUUGCAUUUCUUCUUUGCUCAAGCCACCAUGAAUCAGGCAUGCUGUGACUGGCCGCUGAAAAUAUGGUAACGCAUGCAGUCACAUUCCCCAUGUUCUAUUCUCCAGAUUACCUUCAAACAACUGAAGGUACAGGACUCAGAGUUCCCGUUGAGGUAUUUGAACUAUUUUCCUGGAAGGGAAAUAUUCAAAAAGUCCUCUCAGCCCCGGGCACAGUGGCUUACACUGUGGAUUACAAAAGGACUUUUAAGGACUCAUAGGAUUACAAAAUCCUGUAAUCCCAGCACUUUGGUGGGCAGGUCACCUGAGAUCAGGAGUUCAAGACCAGCCUGGCCAAAAUGGUGAAAUCCCGUCUGUACUAAAAUUAUAAAAAUUACCGAGUGUGGAGGUGCAUGCCUGUAAUUCCAGCUACUGGGGAGGCUGAGGCAGGAGAAUCACUUGAACCCGGGAGGCCGAGGUUGCAGUGAGCUGAGAUCACACCAUUGCACUCUAGCCUGGGCAACAGAGUGAGACUGCAUCUAAAAAAAAAAACCAAAAAAAUUAUCUCAUUUCCAACUUGCCAACACCUGUGAUAAUGUAAACCAAAAAUGAAAUUCUAAGCCCCUCAACUGACUGAAUGAAUCCCCAUCUUCACCAAGGUGAUCCCAAAGAAAACCUGAAAAACUAGUUCAGGCCAUGAUGGGAAGGAAGGUCAGAUAUGCCUCUUCGCCUCUUCAUACUUUCCUCCCUUUGGAGUUUAGGCACAACUGGUCAGCAUUCAUAUUAAAAUACAGAUCAUCAUAGGGCGGGCAUGGUGGCUCACGCCUGUAAUCCCAGCACUUUGGGAGGCCGAGGCAGGCAGAUCACUUGAAGUCAGGAGUUUGAGACCAGCCUGGCCAACAUGGUGAAACCCCGUCUCUACCAAAAAUACAAAAAUUAGCCAGGCAUGGUGGCAGGCGCCUGUAAUCCCAGCUACUUGGGAGGCUGAGGCAGGAGAAUUGCUUGAACCUGGGAGGUGGAGGUUGCAGUGAGCUGAGUUCGCUCCACUGCAAUCCAGCCUGGGUGACAGAGCGAGACUCCAUCUCAAAAAACAAAACAAAACACAAAAAACCAGAUCAUCAGAUGGACAAAACAGACUCUUUGUGCAAUAAGAUACCAAAUUCCAACCUGACCCUGUAUGUGAUGUAGAGCAUAACAGUGACAGAUAACAGGCCCUAAGGAAAGUCAAAGUAUUUUACCCCAAGAUAUAUUUAUUUGACAUAUUUUGGAGUGACCCUGCAAAGCCCACUCUUUGCCUUCUGUAGCGAAUCCCCUUCCUGUUCCAGGUCUUUUCCUGAUCCAGGAGAGAAUUAAACUAAGAGUCUAACACCUUUUGAGGUCUAAUAAGAGAAAUCUACCAUCUAUCCUGUCUGAAGCUGGGUGCUUAGAGGCUUCAUCUACAUAAACAAGAACCUUGGCUUCCACAACUCUCUUACCUUAACUCAAGCAUUUCUUUUUCUUUCUUUUUUUUUUUUUUGAGUUGGGUUCUCACCCUGUCACCUAGGCUGGAGUGCAGUGGUGUGAUCUCAGCUCACUGAAACCUCUGCCUCCCAGGUUCAAGCCAUCCUCCUGACUCCACCUCCUGAUAGCUGGGAGCACAGGUGCGUACCACCACGCUGGGCUAAUUUUUGGUAGAGUCAGGGGUCUCUCCAUGUUGCCCAGUCUGGCCUGGGACUCCUAGGCUCAAGCGAUCCACCCGUCUUGGCCUCCUAAAGUGCUGGGAUUAUAGGUGUGAGCCACCGCACCUGACCUCAAACAUUUCUUUAUGCUGACUUCAACUCCUCAGGCAAUGCUUCACUCUUUCAAUCAAUUGCCAAUAAGGAAAUCUUCGAAUCCACCUAUGCCCUGGAAGUCCCUCUGCUUCCAUCUUUGAGAUGUCCUGCCUUUUGAGGCUGAACCAAUGUAUACAUUUCAUGUAUUGCUUUAUGUCUUUGUUUGUGACUUCCAUCUCUCUAAAAUGUAUAAAACCAAACUGCAACCUGACCACCUUGUGCAUAUGUCCUCAGGACCCCCUGAGGCUGUGUCACGGGCCAUGAUCACUCAUAUUUGGGUCAGAAUAAACUUCUUCAAAUAUUUUACGGAGUUUGGCUUUUUUCCUCAACAAUACUUACCUCUCCCUUGCUUCAAACCCUCCCAUGGCUCCCCAGUACUUUUUCAGUUUUUUUUUUGAGACAGAGUUUUGCUCUUUUUGUCCAGGCUGGAGUGUCGUGGUGCGAUC
rnacentral:lncRNA from 10 species